rnacentral:rRNA from 1 species
CCUACGGGAGGCAGCAGUGAGGAAUAUUGGUCAAUGGCCGGGAGGCUGAACCAGCCAAGUCGCGUGAGGGAAGACGGCCCUACGGUUUGUAAACCUCUUUUGUCAGGGAGCAAGGUGCAGGUCGGGACCUGCUGUGAGAGUACCUGAAGAAAAAGCAUCGGCUAACUCCGUGCCAGCAGCCGCGGUAAUACUGGGGAUGCGAGCGUUAUCCGGUUUUAUUGGGGUUAAUGGGUGCGUGGGCGGAAAUUUAAGUCGGCGGUAAAAUGUUGGGGCUCAACCACGGUCUGCCGUCGGAACUGGGUGCCUUGAGUGGGCGAGAAGAAUGCGGAAUGCGUGGUGUAGCGGUGAAAUGCAUAGAUAUCACGAAGAACCCCGGUUGCGAAGGCAGCAUACCGGAGCCCUACUGACGCUGAGGCACGAAAGUGUGGGUAUCGAACAGGAUUAGAUACCCCGGUAGUC